AUAGUAUAAGGAAAAGAGAAAAAAAGAGAGAAAAAGCAUAAUCUAUGGAAACAACAAAAAAUAUUUAAUUUUGGGGGGGAGGGGUGUAGACUAUGUGAUAAGAAUAAAGACGAGGAAAUUGGGGUGACUCUAAACAGCCCAUCCGUGCUCGGGUCUUCCCCGGGAGCCUGAAUGAAGAGAGAGGCGGCUUCAGGACCCGAAACCAGGAGUCAAAGAACCGCGCGGCGGCCGCCCAGCGCGACGCUGCCUUUGGCUCCUCACUUCUCCGCUCAGUCUCACUCACUCACUCUCUUUUUUGGAUUUCGUCAUCUUUUCAAAAAAUCAAUAAAAAUAUUCUGGAAGCUCCGGGGGUCCCCUUCUUGGUCCCAUCCGGAUCCCCAGACCCUGCUCUAUCAUUCCCGACAAUUGGAAAAAAUCUCCCGAGGGGUCCCUGCGGCCCAGGCGCCGCUAUUGGGGGGGUGGGUGGGGAGAGGUGGGGAAGAGAGGGGGAGGGCGCAGAGGAGGAAGGGCGCCGCAGCCUCGGCGGCUGGAGUCUGAGCAUGGGGAGACGGUUUCAAAAAAUAAUUAAAAAUCGAGGAAAUACCCUAGAAAAGCCCUUUUGGCGUGAAAACCCCAAAGAGGAUGCAGGCUUCCCGAAACGGAGGUUUCGGGUGCCGGCAAGGUCUGUAUCUGGACCCCUGGGGCUUCGGAUCCCGAGGGGGAACUUGGAGGGGUGAGCGCCGCGGCGGGAGUGUCCGGCGGCGGCCCACAAGGGCAGAAACUGGGGGACGUGGUGACGAGCUGGGGGAAGACGAGGAUCGGGGGGCCGCCGGAGAGAGGCCGGGGGACGCUGACCUCUCCUUUAGGGGUGCCCCGAUAUCCCCCCUACACACACCUCCUCCCCCCUUCCUACCCCACCCAAAUCGCCGCACCGAGGAAACUGGAAAGCCAAACCGAGAUUGUACUAUAAAGCUCAUACAAGGACUGAUGCUGAAAAUGCACCUUCCAGAAGAUGCCAAGGAAUCACUGUAUACUCAACUUGAUCUCUGCCGCCUCUGUCUACAUCUCCAGUCCUGGACACUGAAACCGGUGCUCAGGGGUAACCUCGUCAGAAGAAUCCCUAACCACGGGCACCAGGAAAGUCGAGUCUGUUUCUCUGUGCUUGCUAAGAUAGGGAAGCAGACUCCAGCGUUUAGAGAUUUUUUUCUUGGAACAAGAAUUGAAACAGGGGCCGGCCGGGUGGCAUGGUGGUUAAGUUGACAUGCUCCACUUUGGAGGCCUGGGGUUCCCCAGUUCGUAUCCUGGGUGCAGACCCAGCAGCGCUCAUGGAGCCAUGCUGAGGUGGCGUCCCGUUUAGAAGAACUGGAAGAGCCUACAACUGGGAUGUACAGCUAUGUCCUGGGGGGCUUUGGGGAGAAACAAACAAAGUUUGGCAACAGAUGUUAGCUUAGGGCCUAUCUUCCUGACCAAAAAAAAAGCAUAAAAAAAUAAUGUUAAAAAAAAAAAGAACUGAAAUGUAAAGGAUUUUUUUCAAGUUAACAUUCAGUUCAUACAAAUGGAAUUUGGAAGAACUUCUCCAAACGUUGCCUGUUUUGGUCAAUUGACCUUUUACUGUAACAAGCUAAUCGGAAGCCACAAAUAAAUUGGGGAAGAAGGUA